AUUUAUCUCGGUCUCGCCUCGUUUAUAAACACUGUCUGUUUGAGUGAGUCGUGAAUUGCAGACGAGUUUGUUGUUGUCAGUUUAUUAUUUACAUUUGCAGUAUUAUCUGUAUUAUAUUCAGUAUUAUCUCUAUCUAUGUGAUAAGCCGGUAGGGUUAUUGUGCGUGGUUCUGAGUUGUGAUUAUUUUCUGGAGUCUCAUCUGCCACCUAACCUUGAUAGUUUUGUUCAAAUUGAGGAUAGACCUUUCGUACUUUACUUUACCGUAGAUUGGAUUUUCAAGAGUAAGAAUCUGACCCGAAAUCACAAUGUGGGUGACAGUUAUAGCGGGGGCGGUUCUGCUCCUCCUAAUUCUGAAGUUAUUCUACAAUCAAGAGAAAGAUCCCCUGGACGACCUCCCGUCUCCGCCGAAGCUGCCAAUAGUGGGACAUUCUUUCAGCCUGCUGGGCAUCACACCAGUGGGAUUCUUUGAAGUGAUGCGUCUGUACAACAAGCUGUACGGGGACCGAUACCUCAUCAAGGUGAUGAACAGAAAGAUUGUUCAGAUCAGCUCCCCGCAAGAUAUUGAGGCGGUGUUGAGCCAUUCGAAGAACAUAAAAAAAAGUUUUCCAUACACCCUGAUAGAGCCUUGGCUGGGAACUGGCUUGUUGCUUAGCACUGGAGCGAAAUGGCACAAGCGGCGCAAGAUCCUGACCCCCACGUUCCACUUCAACAUCCUCCGCAACUUCUCCUGCAUCAUCGAGGAGAAGAGUCGAGAGCUGGUGCUGAGGCUGAGGGAACAGGAGGAGACGACUGUGGACGUCAUGCCGACUGUCAGCGAAUUCACGCUGAAUACCAUUUGUGAAACAGCGAUGGGCACGCGUCUAGAUUCAGACAAGUCAAAGGCAGCCGUCGAAUACAAGAGUGCUAUCAUGGACAUAGGCGCACUGGCCAUGAAGAGAUUAACCUCCUUCUGGCUUCACAAUAAAGUGGUUUUCAGCAUGUCAUCAAUCGGCAAACAGUUCAAUAAGGCCCUGAAGACCGUGCACUCCUUUUCUGAUAAUGUGAUUUUGGAAAGGAAGAAUAAUAGAACCCCUCAAGACCAGCAGCAGACGUCUGCGGCUCUCGACGGGUCAGACGUGGGCACUGUGCGGCGCCUCGCCAUGCUAGACCUGCUGCUGGACGCGGAGAGACAGGGGCAGAUCCAGCUCGACGGCAUCAGGGAGGAGGUCAACACCUUCAUGUUUGAGGGCCACGACACGACUGCAAUGGCGCUCACGUUUGCCCUCAUGUUGCUGGCAGAACACAAGGAAGUGCAGGACAAAAUCUACGAAGAGCUUGAAGGUAUCUUCGGGUCUUCGGAUCGCACGCCGUCCAUGGCUGACCAGGCUGCCAUGAAGUACCUGGAGGCCGUCAUCAAAGAGACCCUCAGACUCUACCCGAGUGUCCCCUUCAUUGCCAGGGAAAUCACCGAGGACUUUAUGAUGGGAGACCUGCCAGUGAAGAAAGGGACGGAGGUAGCGGUCCAUAUCUACGACCUGCACCGCCGGCCGUACCUCUACGCUGACCCUGAGGUGUUCCGUCCAGAGAGGUUCCUGGGAGCUGGACCGAAGCACCCCUACGCUUUCGUGCCGUUUAGCGCUGGCCCGAGGAAUUGUAUCGGUCAAAAGUUCGCCAUGCAAGAGAUGAAGUGUUUCCUCAGCGAGGUCUGCCGCUUCUUCCACCUAGCUCCCGUGACUCCAGGUCUCAGGCCCCAGCUGCUAGCUGACCUGGUGUUGAGACCUGCCCACCCUAUACAUGUCAAGUUUAUUAGAAGAUAACAUUUAGUGCACCCGAGUCCGAGUUGUUCUAUGGAAGAUAGCGUUAUUAAAAUGAUUCGUUGUAGAAUAGAAAAUAGCAUAUAAUAUAAGAAUAAUUAUGUAUGACUGAAUUUAUAUGGGUUUUCUUGUGAUAUUGCCUGAAAUAAAUGAAUUAAUAAUCUAAUAGCAUAGCAUA